rnacentral:rRNA from 1 species
CACGUAGGGGGCAAGCGUUGUCCGGAUUUAUUGGGCGUAAAGAGCUCGUAGGCGGCUUAGUAAGUCGGGUGUGAAACCUCCAGGCUCAACUUGGAGACGCCACCCGAUACUGCUGUGGCUAGAGUCCGGUAGGGGAGCGUGGAAUUCCUGGUGUAGCGGUGAAAUGCGCAGAUAUCAGGAGGAACACCGGUGGCGAAGGCGGGUCUCUGGGCCGUAACUGACGCUGAGGAGCGAAAGCGUGGGGAGCGAACAGG